rnacentral:sRNA from 1 species
UGUAGGCUUCUCAGGAAGCAAAAAUGAUCAAACCCAUGACAAUAAAUGUUGGAUCUUUCUGCUGUUGCUUUCUUACUGCCCUUAUGGGAAUUAAAUUAUUUUAUUGAAAUUAUUUUAUUGAAAUCUCUUUAGUUAUCGUUUCUUGCCUUGAGGGGAACUUAGUACUGACUGCUAAAAUGUUGCAAAGACAAAUGUUGAGCAUCUUUACUGUGUGUGAUUAGUAAUUUCUUCUGUGCUAAACUGCAGGUAUUAUCAUGGUCCAACUCCAAUCCAGUCACUACAGUAUGCAACAAGUCAGGACAUUAUUAAUUCUUUUCAAAGUAUUAGACAAGAAAUGGAAGCUUAUACACCCAAGUUAACUCAGGUUCUCUCAAGUAGUGCUGCCAGUAGUACCAUCACAGCACUGUCACCUGGAGGGGCACUUAUGCAGGGAGGAACACAGCAAGCCAUUAACCAGAUGGUGCCAAAUGAUAUUCAGUCUGAAUUGAAACACUUAUAUGUAGCUGUUGGAGAACUUCUACGGCAUUUCUGGUCCUGCUUUCCUGUUAAUACGCCAUUCCUAGAAGAAAAGGU